UGCUGUGAUGAUCAAAAUUAUCUCGUUAAUCUGAGCCGAAAGGCGUGAAGAUCAACAAUAUCCAUUCCUUCUGAGC
rnacentral:snoRNA from 1 species